UUGACAACACUGGAGGCUGAAGCCCUCUAUUUAUCCACAGAACAGAUACAGCACGGGCGGCAGCAGUGCAAGCUUUCCCACGCUGCCCCCACCAAUGUGCCUCAGCUUUGUCCUGGAGGGACCACCUCUAGAGGUGAGAGGAUAGAUCGGUCUCCAUGACCCAUUCAGUCCUUGGCCUUU
ensembl:misc_RNA